CAUGUCCUUUAGUUUAAUUUAAAGGUUUAACCUGCUCUAUGAUAAUUUAAAUGGCCGCGGUAUUUUAACUGUGCUAAGGUAGCAUAAUAAUUAGUCUCUUAAUUAGGGUCUUGAAUGAAUGGUUGAACGAGAAAAUAACUUUAUUAAGAUAAAUUUUUCUUAAGUUAAUAUUUAUGUUAAAAAGCUUAAAUAUUUAAAUGGGACGAUAAGACCCUGUAGAUCUUUAUAAUUAAUUUAAGUAUAAAAUUUGGUUGAAAAAUUUUUAUUUCUUUAAUUAAUUAUUUUGUUGGGGUGACAAAUAAAUUUUUUAAACUUUACUUUUUUUUUACAUUUAUUUUUGGUUAUUUUGAUCCUUUAUUUUGAUUAAAAGAAAAAGAUACCUCAGGGAUAACAGCGUUAUAUAUUUGGAAAGUUCUUAUUGAUAAAUAUGUUUGCGACCUCGAUGUUGAAUUAAAAUAUAAUUGUGGAGUAGAUGAUACAAUGUUAGGUCUGUUCGACCUUUAAAAUUUU
rnacentral:rRNA from 1 species